rnacentral:rRNA from 1 species
UUCCGGUUGAUCCCGCCGGACCUGACUGCUAUCGGAUUGAUACUAAGCCAUGCGAGUCAUUGUAGCAAUACAAGGCGGACGGCUCAGUAACGCGUAGUCAACCUAACCUAUGGACGGGAAUAACCUCGGGAAACUGGGAAUAAUGCCCGAUAGAACACUAUGCCUGGAAUGGUUUGUGUUCCAAAUGAUUUAUCGCCGUAGGAUGGGACUGCGGCCUAUCAGUUUGUUGGUGAGGUAAUGGCCCACCAAGACUAUUACAGGUACGGGCUCUGAGAGGAGUAGCCCGGAGAUGGGUACUGAGACACGGACCCAGGCCCUAUGGGGCGCAGCAGGCGAGAAAACUUUGCAAUGUGCGAAAGCACGACAAGGUUAAUCCGAGUGGUUUGUGCUAAACAGACCUUUUGUUAGUCCUAGAAACACUAACGAAUAAGGGGUGGGCAAGUUCUGGUGUCAGCCGCCGCGGUAAAACCAGCACCUCAAGUGGUCAGGAUGAUUAUUGGGCCUAAAGCAUCCGUAGCCGGCUCUGUAAGUUUUCGGUUAAAUCUGUAUGCUCAACAUACAGGCUGCCGGGAAUACUGCAGAGCUAGGGAGUGGGAGAGGUAGACGGUACUCGGUAGGAAGGGGUAAAAUCCUUUGAUCUAUUGAUGACCACCUGUGGCGAAGGCGGUCUACCAGAACACGUCCGACGGUGAGGGAUGAAAGCUGGGGGAGCAAACCGGAUUAGAUACCCGGGUAGUCCCAGCUGUAAACUAUGCAAACUCAGUGAUGCAUUGGCUUGUGGCCAAUGCAGUGCUGCAGGGAAGCCGUUAAGUUUGCCGCCUGGGAAGUACGUACGCAAGUAUGAAACUUAAAGGAAUUGGCGGGGGAGCACACAGGGGUGAAGCCUGCGGUUCAUUGGAGUCACGGCGGG